ensembl:lncRNA
GCAGCACACAGAGCCUCACGACCCUUCACGCUGCAAACCAGUUCUGACGUUAGAACAGCAGAAAAGCGGAGACCUGGAGGUUUUUAGGAUUUACUGGACCUCUUUCGGAUGUCUGAAGAAACACUGUUGAGGAGCUCUGACUAAGGUGAGCUGCUUUAGCCUUCUUUUACAUUGUUUGCUUCAAUAAUCAGCUUUUCUCUCAUGUAUUGUGAGUGGUUUGAUUGAUGUUUGGACAUCCCUAACAUGUAUAUGUGUUCAUAAAUUUUUUUUAAUUUUUUUUUGUUUCUGUAAAUCACAGUCUGGCAUCCUGGAAUAAAAAACCCAUGAUGUGCAUUAUUUCAAAGAAUUAGAAAUAAUUGUAAGGCUAUAAUGAAUCUCUAUAAUAAAGUGAUCGUAUCUGGUUUAUUUGAUAUUUAAAAAAUGAAUCCAAUGCAUGUUUAAUUUGUCUUUUUUUUUGAUGAUCCCUGCCUCUCCUUCUGUCAGCAGACUUAUAAGGAGGGAUCUUGGCUCCUGCAGCCAUUUCCCCUGCAGGGCUGAGCUCUUUGGCUGGCUUGCCAUUUCCUUAGCAGAGGGACUGCUGGCAGGGGCAACAUCUGAGCAGGUCAUGAAGCCUCAGGAGGCAGAGCUUGUUACUGAAAUCUCCAAGUUACAAUGCAUGGUCUCGGAGCUGAAGUCGGGGUUCACCAGCGCUCUGCUGGAGCUCAGUCAGAUCCAACAUGGAGACACAUACCUGAGAGAGGAGCUGGAGGAGAACAGGAGGAGCUGUCAGAAAAAAGCUUUAAGGCUGGAGGCUCUAGUCGACUCACUGAGGGAGGAACUCAGUGUGAUGAGGUGUCAGAUCGUGCAGCUGUACAGCAACAGACACAGACCUCAGCAGGAUGGAAAAAGCUCCACAUCCAAGCAAAGAGAAAGCAGCGAUCCAGCUGAGCCGCAGCGUGUACAGCGUCAGUGUGAUUGUUCAUCUGCUCCACCUGCCUGUCUGUCCAGAGGAAAACUGCUUCUUCACUGUUUCCUGCAGGGCCUCAAAGCUGGUCUCAGUGAAGGCACAGAUGCACGCCAUCAGGUCACGAUGCAGCUCCUGCACUCUGAGUGGGAAUAUGUGUCAACCUUAAACCAGCUGUAUGACAAAUACAAGACCCCACCGGCUCACCACAUGACUGCAGAACCAUAUCAGACCUAUUUGAAGUUUGUGGAGCAGCUGUUACAGCGCCAUCUGCUCUUCAGAAAUACACUGCAGGAGCGGUUAUCAGCUGAACACUGGAAAUCUCUGAUUGGAGACAUCCUGGUGCAGCUUAUUGGCCACAACGAUACAGCUUUUUCAGACAUGUACCUCGGAUACACAACGACCCUGGCGUCAUUCCUCUCACUUGAGUUCAAGAGACUCAAUCAUCCUGACAAGAGUCAAAUUUUGCAGGGCAGCCAGAUGGAGAGAGAGGAAAUGAAACUGCUCUCCUUGCUUUUGGCACCUGUCGCGCGCAUACACAGCUACCUGAGUCACAUUCAGAACCUCUUGCAGUGGACUGGUAAAGAGCAUCCUGACUGCAGCCUGUUGUUGGGAACUGAGCGAGCUCUGAGGAGCAUUUUAUCCCGCUGUCAUGUAAUUCUCGAGGAAGACGUCCGGUGGGAAGAAGGAGAAGUAGCUGGACAAAGCACCUCUGAUGCUGGGGCUGGCGUUUCUGCUGCAAACUGUUGCACGAGGAGCCAGCACACCAGAGAGUCUCAGCAGGCCAGGGAAGAGUCAAACGCUGCUGCUCAGAGCAGAGAAGAGCAGAUAGCUGUCGGCCUCAGCAAUGGCGUGAAUGGCUGCCAGUCAAUGCGUGUGGAGUGUUGGUCCUGCAGCCCUGUGAGAAGAGACCGAGCCCUCCUGAACCAGCCGGCCCAUGACUGUGGACAUGCCUACUGCUCCCUCCUCACUCCAGACACAGCAGGAUGGGGAGACAACAGCGACUCAGGCCAGGGCACCUUCAGCCAGCCCACGGGGAAAGGCACCAACGAGCUAGAGGCACCUCGCACGAACCACAGCCUGGAAGACUGUGAGACAGACCCCGAUGACACCUCUGCCUUUGACUAUUCCUCAGUCACCUCAUGUAGCCCUGAUGGCACUCUGCGCAGAGAAAUGACCGGUAGCAACAGCGGGGAGGAUGAAGAGGAAGACAGCCAGGUGCCAGUGCUGUUAAAGCCCUCAUACAGUCAGCAGCAGCAGGUCAAAGAGACACCAAGAGAGAGGACUGUGUGUCUGAGGUGGCAGAUUCCAAGACUGACCCCUCACCCUCCUCUGAGGAACCCAUCAGGACCCCACAUGGACGGGCCAACGCCGUGUCUCGUCAGCUCCUACGGGAAGAGGUUAGUCAGCGUUAGAAAGGGAUCGCCUCCUCUUCACCCGAAAAGUGCCUUCAGGCCAAUCUGGGAUGAUCCGUCAAAGCAGGCUGAUUCAGCCCCAGAGAAAGACAACAGGCAAGGUUUCAUUCCGAUUCAGGCUCCAGCGAGGCAAAACUUUCAGAAUUUCAACCCGAGCAGAGAAAAUUUGAGGACAGGGCUGGCUCAGCAGCGAGUGAACCAUGCAGCAGCAGCCACGAGCAGUGGAGGAUUGUGGGAUGACAGUGAGGACAGCGAGGGACCCUGCAGCACUGUUUGAUAACUGCCAUUUAAAAAAAUCCAAAACCUGAGCACAAGCGUUUUUCCACAAGGCCUCUAAAGUUGUGAAGUGCAUGAAUGAGCAAUGAGCAACUAACAAUCAGGGACUGUUUUUGGAUUUGAUGUUAAAUUAAAGCUUGAUUGAGCUCUGCAGAACUCUUUGUUCUUUAUGUCUUGUCUUUUCAGGAUUACACUUUUUUAUGUGGGCAGGAUCACGCUUAAGCCCAGGUUCAACUCACUGUGGAAGAGAAAGAAAAAACAAAAAGCAGCAAUAAUCAGAUGUUUCAUCAGGAUUUCAUGCUUGAAAGACUUUAAUGGUCCCAAUGAGAC